rnacentral:rRNA from 1 species
AUUGAACGCUGGCGGCAUGCCUUACACAUGCAAGUCGAACGGUAACAGGUUAAGCUGACGAGUGGCGAACGGGUGAGUAAUGUAUCGGAACGUGCCCAGUCGUGGGGGAUAACUGCUCGAAAGAGCAUCUAAUACCGCAUACGACCUGAGGGUUAAAGCGGGGGAUCGCAAGACCUCGCGCGAUUGGAGCGGCCGAUAUCAGAUUAGGUAGUUGGUGAGGUAAAGGCUCACCAAGCCGACGAUCUGUAGCUGGUCUGAGAGGACGACCAGCCACACUGGGAGUGAGACACGGCGCAGACUCCUACGGGAGGCAGCAGUGGGGAAUUUUGGACAAUGGGCGCAAGCCUGAUCCAGCCAUGCCGCGUGAGGGAAGAAGGCCUUCGGGUUGUAAACCGCUUUUGUCAGGGAAGAAAAGGUUCUGGCUAAUACCUGGGAAUCAUGACGGUACCUGAAGAAUAAGCACCGGCUAACUACGUG